rnacentral:rRNA from 1 species
UAUGAGAGUUUGAUCCUGGCUCAGGACGAACGCUGGCGGCGUGCCUAAUACAUGCAAGUCGAACGCUUCUUUUUCCACCGGAGCUUGCUCCACCGGAAAAAGAGGAGUGGCGAACGGGUGAGUAACACGUGGGUAACCUGCCCAUCAGAAGGGGAUAACACUUGGAAACAGGUGCUAAUACCGUAUAACAAUCAAAACCGCAUGGUUUUGAUUUGAAAGGCGCUUUCGGGUGUCGCUGAUGGAUGGACCCGCGGUGCAUUAGCUAGUUGGUGAGGUAACGGCUCACCAAGGCCACGAUGCAUAGCCGACCUGAGAGGGUGAUCGGCCACAUUGGGACUGAGACACGGCCCAAACUCCUACGGGAGGCAGCAGUAGGGAAUCUUCGGCAAUGGACGAAAGUCUGACCGAGCAACGCCGCGUGAGUGAAGAAGGUUUUCGGAUCGUAAAACUCUGUUGUUAGAGAAGAACAAGGAUGAGAGUAACUGUUCAUCCCUUGACGGUAUCUAACCAGAAAGCCACGGCUAACUACGUGCCAGCAGCCGCGGUAAUACGUAGGUGGCAAGCGUUGUCCGGAUUUAUUGGGCGUAAAGCGAGCGCAGGCGGAGUCUUUAUUGAUGAUUAAUGCAUUUACUUCUAAUACAUCAGGCUGAUCUGGGGCGGGAGACUUGAGUGCAGAAGAGGAGAGUGGAAUUCCAUGUGUAGCGGUGAAAUGCGUAGAUAUAUGGAGGAACACCAGUGGCGAAGGCGGCUCUCUGGUCUGUAACUGACGCUGAGGCUCGAAAGCGUGGGGAGCAAACAGGAUUAGAUACCCUGGUAGUCCACGCCGUAAACGAUGAGUGCUAAGUGUUGGAGGGUUUCCGCCCUUCAGUGCUGCAGCUAACGCAUUAAGCACUCCGCCUGGGGAGUACGACCGCAAGGUUGAAACUCAAAGGAAUUGACGGGGGCCCGCACAAGCGGUGGAGCAUGUGGUUUAAUUCGAAGCAACGCGAAGAACCUUACCAGGUCUUGACAUCCUUUGACCACUCUAGAGAUAGAGCUUCCCCUUCGGGGGCAAAGUGACAGGUGGUGCAUGGUUGUCGUCAGCUCGUGUCGUGAGAUGUUGGGUUAAGUCCCGCAACGAGCGCAACCCUUAUUGUUAGUUGCCAUCAUUCAGUUGGGCACUCUAGCAAGACUGCCGGUGACAAACCGGAGGAAGGUGGGGAUGACGUCAAAUCAUCAUGCCCCUUAUGACCUGGGCUACACACGUGCUACAAUGGGAAGUACAACGAGUCGCGAAGUCGCGAGGCUAAGCUAAUCUCUUAAAGCUUCUCUCAGUUCGGAUUGCAGGCUGCAACUCGCCUGCAUGAAGCCGGAAUCGCUAGUAAUCGCGGAUCAGCACGCCGCGGUGAAUACGUUCCCGGGCCUUGUACACACCGCCCGUCACACCACGAGAGUUUGUAACACCCGAAGUCGGUGAGGUAACCUUUUGGGAGCCAGCCGCCUAAGGUGGGAUAGAUGAUUGGGGUGAAGUCGUAACAAGGUAGCCGUAUCGGAAGGUGCGGCUGGAUCACCUCCUU